AUGAUUGCAAGGGGAGAGUUUACUGCAGGUAAAAGCAGUAACGCCGAAGGAGCAAGCGACGUUGUGAAUCUCUCAGGCAAAAUGACUCUUGCAGGACG
rnacentral:ncRNA from 1 species